AUACCGAAGCCACAGUGAAAGCGAGCCUGAAUAGGGCGUUUGUCACUAGUUAUAGACCCGAACCCGGAUGAUCUAACCAUGGGCAGGUUGAAGCUUGGGUAAUACUAAGUGGAGGACCGAACCGACUGAUGUUGAAAAAUCAGCGGAUGACUUGUGGUUAGGGGUGAAAUGCCAAUCGAAUUCGGAGCUAGCUGGUUCUCCCCGAAAUGCGUUUUGGCGCAGCGGUAGAUGUUAUAGUUUAGGGGUAAAGCACUGUUACGUAUGCGGGCUGGUAAUUCGGUACCAAAUCGUUGCAAACUAAGAAUACUAAAUGUAUAGUCUACCAGUAAGACUGUGGGGGAUAAGCUCCAUUGUCAAGAGGGAAACAGCCCAGAGCACCAGUUAAGGCCCUUAAAUAAUUACUAAGUGGUAAAGGAGGUGGGAGUGCAUAAACAAUCAGGAGGUUUGCUUAGAAGCAGCAAUCCUUUAAAGAGUGCGUAAUAGCUCACUGAUCGAGUAAACCUGCGCCGAAAAUGUAUGGGACUAAGUAAUUUGCCGAAACUGUGCGAUAUAUAUUUAUAUAUCGGUAGGGGAGCGUUCUGUUGUAGGUCGAAGUAUUAGCGUAAGCGGAUAUGGACGAAGCAGAAGUGAGAAUGUCGGCUUGAGUAACGAAAAUAUAGGUGGGAAUCCUAUACCCCGAAAACCCAAGGUUUCCUCCGGAAGGCUCGUCCGCGGAGGGUAAGUCAGGACCUAAGGCGAGGCUGAAAAGCGUAGUCGAUGGACAACGGGUUAAUAUUCCCGUACCGUUUUUUAUUGAUAUCGAGGGACGGAGAAGGCUAAGCUAGCCGGAUAUUGGUUUUACCGGUUUAAGCGUUCAAGAUGUUGAGAAGCGGCGAAAACGCUUUGAGUUGAGACGUGAGUACGAGACGCUAAGGCGUCGAAGUAGUGGAUGUCAUACUUCCAAGAAAAGCUUGCACUGUCAUAAAUAAAAAACGCCUGUACCAUAACCGACACAGGUGGGUAGGUAGAGUAUACUAAGGGGCGCGAGAUAACUCUCUCUAAGGAACUCGGCAAAAUGACUCCGUAACUUCGGGAGAAGGAGUGCCUUAUUCGUAAGGCUGCAAUAACAAGAUCCAAGCAACUGUUUAUCAAAAACACAGGUCUCCGCUAAGUCGUAAGACGAUGUAUGGGGGCUGACGCCUGCCCAGUGCCAGAAGGUUAAAGAAGUCGGUUAGCAUUAGCGAAGCUGGUAACUGAAGCCCUGGUGAACGGCGGCCGUAACAAUAACGGUCCUAAGGUAGCGAAAUUCCUUGUCGGGUAAGUUCCGACCCGCACGAAAGGCGUAAUGAUUUGGAUACUGUCUCGGAGAGGGGCUCGGUGAAAUAGACUUGUCUGUGAAGAUGCGGACUACCUGCACCAGGACAGAAAGACCCUAUGAAGCUUUACUGUAACUUGAAAUUGAAAUUGGACUUUAUUCGCGCAGUAUAGGUGGGAGGUGUUGAUUAUAAUCUUGCGGGAUUAUUGGAGCCAUCAGUGAGAUACCACUCUUGUAAUGUUAGAUUUCUAACUUUGAAUCAUUAUCUGGUCAAAGAACAGUUUCAGGCGGGCAGUUUGACUGGGGCGGUCGCCUCCUAAAUGGUAACGGAGGCGGACAAAGGGUUCCUCUGAACGGGGAGAAAUCGUAUCUAGAGUGUAAAGGCAUAAGGAAGCUUGACUGUGAGACCUACAAGUCGAGCAGGGACGAAAGUCGGUCUUAGUGAUCUGACGGUACUGAGUGGAAAGGCCGUCACUCAACGGAUAAAAGUUACUCUAGGGAUAACAGGCUGAUCUCCCCCAAGAGUUCACAUCGACGGGGAGGUUUGGCACCUCGAUGUCGGCUCAUCGCAUCCUGGGGCGGUAGUACGUCCCAAGGGUUGGGCUGUUCGCCCAUGAAAGCGGUACGCGAGCUGGGUUCAGAACGUCGUGAGACAGUUCGGUCCAUAUCCGGUGUAGGCGUUAGAAUAUUGAGAGGAGCCUUCUUUAGUACGAGAGGACCGAGAAGGACAUACCUCUGGUGUACCAGUUAUCGUGCCAACGGUAAACGCUGGGUAGCUAUGUAUGGAGUGGAUAACCGCUGAAAGCAUCUAAGUGGGAAGCCCACCUCAAGAUAAGUAUUCUCAUCACGUAAGUGAGUAAGGUCACGGUAAGACUAACCGUUUGAUAGGCAUUAAGUGUAAGUACAGUAAUGUAUGUGCUGAGAUGUCCUAAUAGACCGAGGACUUG
rnacentral:rRNA from 13 species